UGGGUUGUGGCCCAGAGGAAGAGCGCUCGCUCGCACGUGUGAGACCCUGAGUUUGAUCCUCAGCACCACAU
rnacentral:tRNA from 1 species